UACGUAGGGUGCAAGCGUUAAUCGGAAUUACUGGGCGUAAAGCGUGCGCAGGCGGUUUUGUAAGUCUGUCGUGAAAUCCCCGGGCUCAACCUGGGAAUUGCGAUGGAGACUGCAAGGCUAGAAUCUGGCAGAGGGGGGUAGAAUUCCACGUGUAGCAGUGAAAUGCGUAGAGAUGUGGAGGAACACCGAUGGCGAAGGCAGCCCCCUGGGUCAAGAUUGACGCUCAUGCACGAAAGCGUGGGGGAGCAAACAGGAUUA
rnacentral:rRNA from 1 species